CUUACACAUGCAAGUCGAACGGCAGCGCGGGGCAACCUGGCGGCGAGUGGCGAACGGGUGAGUAAUAUAUCGGAACGUGCCCUGGAGUGGGGGAUAACGCAGCGAAAGUUGCGCUAAUACCGCAUACGAUCUAAGGAUGAAAGCGGGGGAUUCGCAAGAACCUCGUGCUCCUGGAGCGGCCGAUAUCUGAUUAGCUAGUUGGUGGGGUAAAGGCCUACCAAGGCAUCGAUCAGUAGCUGGUCUGAGAGGACGACCAGCCACACUGGAACUGAGACACGGUCCAGACUCCUACGGGAGGCAGCAGUGGGGAAUUUUGGACAGUGGGCGAAAGCCUGAUCCAGCAAUGCCGCGUGAGUGAAGAAGGCCUUCGGGUUGUAAAGCUUUUUUGUCAGGGAAGAAACGGUGAAGGCUAAUAUCCUUUGCUAAUGACGGUACCUGAAGAAUAAGCACCGGCUAACUACGUGCCAGCAGCCGCGGUAAUACGUAGGGUGCAAGCGUUAAUCGGAAUUACUGGGCGUAAAGCGUGCGCAGGCGGUUUUGUAAGUCUGUCGUGAAAUCCCCGGGCUCAACCUGGGAAUUGCGAUGGAGACUGCAAGGCUAGAAUCUGGCAGAGGGGGGUAGAAUUCCACGUGUAGCAGUGAAAUGCGUAGAGAUGUGGAGGAACACCGAUGGCGAAGGCAGCCCCCUGGGUCAAGAUUGACGCUCAUGCACGAAAGCGUGGGGAGCAAACAGG
rnacentral:rRNA from 1 species